rnacentral:ncRNA from 1 species
UUCAUCAUGAGUUGGCUGAGGGACUGGCCCGAUGACGCCGCGGCAACCAUCGCUAUAUGCGAAACGGUGCCAAUUCCUACAGGAGCAAUCCUGAGAGAUGAGG